UCGAGGCGAUCCAUAAACAUGUGAAUAAAUUGAUAAAAUAUUGCAUUAGCCAUGAAACGGGUAACUUGUUAUUUCCAUCUGUGACUUUACUGAAAUUUUGUAAUAAAUAAUUAUAAUGUAAAUAAGGGAAUAUCGAUACACAUUACGAUAAUAUACGUCCGAGCGGCAAUGUCACGCAACGUAAAAAAUAUUUGGUUGCUGACCAUGUUCGUUACUGAAAUGUGUAAACAAGUCAGUUUACAAUAUGCGAUGUUUCCAAUGCCUUAUUUCCUGGUACCAGCUCCAAUACCCGUAAUGGUACCAUCUCAGAAAAAAUUAACCUCGACCACACUCAGGAGUCCACCCUGCCCACCUUGUGUGUGUUUGCCGUCAUGUACUCCAGCAUUUUUCUCAUACUGCUCUCUGUGCCAUUUGAAAUGCAGAUGUAAAAGUGCUAAAGAUACACCCGAUCCUAUGCCAAGUGGUUCAAAUUUGAUUUAUGCCAUGCCAGUACCAUUACCUCCAGUUAUUGGUUCACCGCCAGUCGCCAUUCUGAUCCCAGGCGAAUAUUCAUCCGAAUCCUUUGAAGAAUACACGGAUUCAAGUAGUUCCGAUUCUUAUUAGUUAAGAAUUUAUAUUCAUAAGUCUUCGCAGUUCAGAAAUCAAAAGAAGAUCAGCAAUGAAGAUCUUUUUGAAGUAGUUCGUUAAGAAGACCUUACACUUACUCAACUGUCGAACAGCAAUACCUAGUAUUGUCGUGUUCCGGUUUGAUGGGUGAGUGAGCCAGUUUAACUACAGACACAAGGGACAUAACAUACCUUGGGAUUAGAUACAUACCUUAGUUCCCAAGGUAGGUAGCGUAUUACCGAUAUAAAGGAUUAUUAGUAUUUGAUGCAAUGCCAAAAUCUAUGGGCGGUGAUGACCACUUACAAUCAGGUAAGUGUAUGUUGGCGACUCACCAGAGUUCUACCCUGGAUCCAUGGUAAAAAAUAAGACACUCAACAGAAACGAAUUAUUUAUAUUUUUAAACAACUUCACUGUACAACAAUCAUCGAAAGGAAUGCCUUACUUUGCAACUAACUAAAAGACGACAUAUGUUUUUAUCAAUAAAAAUAUUAUAUUUA